UCGAGAAUCUUCCGCAAUGGGCGAAAGCCUGACGGAGCGACGCCGCGUGGAGGAAGAAGGCCUUCGGGUUGUAAACUCCUGUCAGAGUUUAUGAAAGCAGGCGGGUUAAUACCCCGUCCUGUUGACAAAGGACUCAAAGGAAGCCACAGCUAACUUCGUGCCAGCAGCUGCGGUAAUACGAAGGUGGCGAGCGUUGUUCGGAUUCACUGGGCAUAAAGGGCGCGUAGGCUGUCCUAUAAGCGGCGUGUGAAAGCCCGGGGCUCAACCCCGGAACUGCACGCCGAACUGUAGGGCUAGAGGACGAGAGGGGAGUGUGGAACUCUAGGUGGAGCGGUGAAAUGCGUAGAUAUCUAGAGGAACGCCGGUGGCGAAAGCGACACUCUGGCUCGACCCUGACGCUGAGGCGCGAAAGCGUGGGUAGCAAACAGGAUUAGAUACCCCCGUAGUCC
rnacentral:rRNA from 1 species